ensembl:lncRNA
GUGUGAUGGGGGUCACAUCUCUUCUUAUUUGUGAGGUUCUUAGCUGUGUGAUGGGGGUCACUUCUCUACUUAUUUGUGAGGUGCUUAGCUGUGUGAUGGGAGUCACUUCUCUACUUAUUUGUGAGGUGCUUAGCUUUGUGAUGGGGGGUCAGUUCUGUUCUUAUUUCGGAGUUUCUUAGCUGUGUGAUAGGGGUCACAUCUCUUCUUAUUUGUGAGGUUCUUAGCUGUGUGAUGGGAGUCACUUCUGUACUUAUUUGAGAAGCUCUUAGCUGUGUGAUUGGGGGUCACUUCUCUACUUAUUUGUGAGGUUCUUAGCUG